AUGGCGGCUUCUUUUCCGCUCCCAGUGACCCAGGACCUGUCCACGUUGCGUGCCAAGUUGCAGGGACUGCUGCAGUUCCUGAGACAAGCCCUGUCCAUUUCCAGUGCACAUACGGUGGACUUCUACACUGAGUCCGUGUGGAAGCAACUGGUCGACUUGCCCCCGGAGACCGUGCUGAGGGUGCUGAGGCGGUCAGCGGCCGAGGCGGAGGCUCGGUCCCCCGAGGCGCGCCUCCUGGUGGAAGCCGAGAUGGGAUCAGGUAUUGCCAGUUUUCCCCAAAUAUUUUGUGAAACUUCCCAGAAGCUAGUGAGUGUGGAAGCCUUUGCUUUGGCUGUGAGAUAUUAUUCUGUACAAAACUUGGGAAUAUGUACUCCUUUUGAACAGUUGCUUACAGCCCUUCGAGGAAAUCAAAAACAGAGAACUGGUGAAAAUGUGAAACCAGAUGAGUUUAUGAAUUUGAAAAAGUCUCAUGAAGUUCAGGUUAUGUCAGAGCUGAUCAGCAGUAUUGCUGAUUACUGUGGAAUAAAGCAGGUAAUUGACCUGGGUUCUGGAAAAGGCUACCUAAGCUCUUUUUUGUCCUUGAAGUAUGGCUUAAAAGUUUAUGGAAUUGAUUCCUCAAAUACCAAUACUCAUGGAGCUAAGGAGAGAAACAGGAAAUUGAAGAAACAUUGGAAAGUCUAUCAUACUCGGUCAAAAUUAGAUGGCAAUGGACUGGCAUUAAAAAUGGCAAAAGAAAGGAAAGUGCAAGAUGAAAUUAAAUAUAAAGUAGAUAUUGAGGGAAUAUGUAACAACAGUCCUGCAAAUCAAGGAAAGAUGUCUACCUCGGAUUUUUUGCCAGAUUUUUCGGAUUCUGUAAUUUCUAACAUUAGAACACAAAUGGAAAACCUACAUGUGUAUUCACAUCGAGAAGAAAAUUUGUGUUUUGAAAAUGCCUUUUCUCUUAUAGACCUUUUGCCUAUUAAUGCUGUAGAACCUACUUCAUUGCAAACAUCUAAGAGAAAUAUGUCUGAAGCAAAUAAAGAGAGAAGAAAAAUGAUAUCAAAGUCAAAUGAAUCAAAUAUAUACUCACCUUUAACAUCUUUUAUCACUGCUGAUUCAGAACUGCAUGAUAUUAUUAAAGACCUGGAGGAUUGUUUGAUGGUAGGCCUCCAUACUUGCGGUGAUCUUGCUCCAAAUACCCUGCGAAUAUUUACUUCCCAGCCUGAAAUCAAGGGAGUUUGCAGUGUGGGUUGUUGCUAUCACCUCUUAUCUGAAGAAUUUGAAAACCUGCACAAAGAAAGCACCCAAGACAAGUGGGGAUUUCCAAUGUGCCAUUAUUUAAAGGAAGAGAGAUGGUGCUGUGGUCGUAAUGCCAGAAUGUCAGCAUGUUUGGCAUUGGAACGGGUUGCGGUUGGCCAAGGGCUGCCUACUGAAUCACUCUUCUAUCGAGCUGUCCUUCAGGAUAUUAUUAAAGAAUGUUAUGGCAUCACCAAAUGUGAUCGGCAUGUUGGUAAAAUUUACUCCAAAUCCUCUUCCUUUCUGGACUAUGCCAGAAAGUCUCUAAAGAAGCUUGGGUUAGAUGAGUCCAAGCUGCCAGAAAAAGUUAUAAUGGACUACUACGAGAAGUACAAGCCUAGAAUGAAUGAGCUGGAAGCUUUUAAUAUGUUGAAAGUUGUUCUGGCUCCUUGUAUAGAGACACUGAUUCUUCUGGAUCGACUUUGCUAUCUGAAAGAGCAGGAAAAUAUUGCAUGGUCUGCACUUGUGAAGUUGUUUGAUCCUGUGAAAUCUCCCAGAUGUUAUGCUAUUAUUGCUCUGAAGAAGCAGCAAUGAUUUCAGUUGAAGCAAGGAAAGAGAACUGUUUAAGAAAUAAUCUGCCAUGUGAAAGAUGUGCUCUGGUAACCUGUGACCAGAAGGAACUGGAAGUCUCCAAACCUCCCCAGGUUCCAGAAACCAUCCCUAAAGCACAGGUUGUACUGUACUGAAGAAUAAUAUUUAGAAGUUUUGAGGGUCAACAUCUAGAGGAUAAAACUGAAAGCUAUUGAAAGUGAACAUGUUCAGAAGAUGCUGUGGAGGAAAGGGAGGAAAUGAAUACACUGAUCCUCCAUGGGAUAAAACUGGCCUAUCCUCUGACAGAAAAGACUAAUGCCAGGUUUCCUCAGAGAAUAAUGUGUGUGUCAAUUCCUGUGGGAAACAUUUGCUGAUAUUCUGCCCACACCUCCACCGCCACCCAAGUGAAGGUGUCAAGAACAUGAUAUAAAUCUAAAUACUUCACCACCGAACAUGUGAGAGACCUGAGAGAGCAGAAGCCAUUCUAGACGCCACGUGCUUGACUGACAAAUAGACCAAGCCGAAGUGGUUUAGAGAUCACAUCAUGUGACAUAGAUCUGCUUUGUUUCGAUAAAUAAACCUAGAACUGUUAAAAUAUGGCCGAUUACACAUUGAGAUGAGGGUGAAAUAAAGAGAAUGGAAUAUUUUCUGAGGUCAUAACAUUCAGUAUUAUUUCUACAAUUUCACUAUAAUUAACGGGCCCAGGAGCAAAUCCUUCUGCUGAUCAGGUUUGAGUUGCUCUUUUACGGUGACAAAUGAAGCACACCAAGAAAGUACAAUUUGACAUUCCCUUCAUGGCUUCUUAGAACAAUGCAUGUUGGAAUGAAGCAGAAAAUAGUGGAGUUUAAAGACAAAUUAAAAAAAGAAAAAGAGAAACAGUGACUGAAUCCAUCAAGACAAGAUUCCACUUUUGAAUGUCUACGUGCAGCUCGGCUCUUCCAUUACCUCUGCAUAAUUUUCAGCAGGGAGUUGUUAUUCUUUAAUGCAACCCUGUAUAUAAAUUAAAGAUUCUGGCUCCCUCAAGGCAAAUAUCCUGAAUUCAUCUUUACUGAAAGAGAAAAAAAAAUGUCAUACCUUCUUAAUCCAGAAGAUUGAAGGUCCCACACAGGAAUCAGUUCUUAAUGUCAUCUGGGAUGGAGUCGUAUUGACAACUAGCAGACAUUUUCCUCAUGGAGCAUGGGACUUCUUCUGAGCACCCAGUGGCCAAUCCAUAGAUGAGCUCAUCUUGUGCCUCUUCCAUCUGAGAUCCCUUCUGUCUCUGGGAAGGAGCCCCGCGCUCUUUACUCACACAGUACCAUCACCACUGAACCUGGGGGUACUCCUCUGAUGGUUUCCAUUUGCUGGAACGUUUGACACAGGAGUUGGUGCUUGUACAGAGGUGGAAGGGGGACAGGGUUGGCUGCUGGGGUCAUAGGAGGUGGUGAGGUGGGAGUAAUUAGCUGCCUUGAAUCUACACCUGGCUUUGUUUCUGUAUAGAACCUGUAUCAGUUGGAUCAGUGUGUCCUGAUUCGUGAGAUCUCAACCAUAUCAAAAUGUCAUUUGGCCCAAGUCCAGACUGUGUACUUUCAUUUCUAAUGUUCCACCGUAACCAUCUAUCACUGAGACCCAUCACGUUUCCUUUUGAUUACUCUAGCCCAGAAGAAAGCUAAAACAUUUUCUGGGAUCUCUUUUUCCCAGCCGGAGCUCUCUGCUUCAUUCGAGAACAGUUCUCAAACCCUAACCUAAAUGAUGGCCAACCAUUGCCAGCGUAUUUCGGAAAGUGGUUCUCCUUUCUCUGGAAUUUUUGUUUAUGCUAUUUCCUUACUUUCUGAUAUCAUUAAAAAUAUGUGUUUUGUAGUUUAUUUGCCUUUUUGUGGUUUUGUAGUCAAUGUGUUGGCUUGCCAUGACCUACUACAUCUUGCCUGAAAGCAGACCUAUUAAAUUUAUUUUUACAUGCUGA